UCCCGAAACUCAUGGAAGCUUCUGGAGCCCCUUUCUCCACCCAGCUGCCCGAGACUGUGGAAGUCUCCGUCCGGAGCGGGCAUGCUCAGGAGCGGUGCAAUUCAGAGGCAACUCAGGGUUCCCAAUCAGUGGGGCGGACGCCGCUCGCCAGGGCAGAGAAGGCUCGGGAAUCCAACUGAAAUUCCCACAUCUUUGAGAAAUAUGCAAGUGUGAUACAAUCAUGAAGAUUUCUCCUUGAGACUGCCAACAUAAGAUUAUAAAAUCUGAUAUUCAAAAUACUUUUAAAAUCUGCAAGCUCAUGUAUUGAGUAAUUCUUUACUAAUAAUAAAGUAAGAGCCAUAAAAGUUGGUUUAAAUAAAGAAAAAUAUGUACUUGU